UACGUAGGGGGCAAGCGUUGUCCGGAAUCAUUGGGCGUAAAGGGCGUGUAGGCGGCUCGGUAAGUCCGCUGUGAAAGUCCAGGGCUCAACCCUGGAAUGCCGGUGGAAACUGUCGAGCUAGAGUCCGGAAGAGGCGAGUGGAAUUCCUGGUGUAGCGGUGGAAUGCGCAGAUAUCAGGAGGAACACCAAUAGCGAAGGCAGCUCGCUGGGACGGUACUGACGCUGAGGUGCGAAAGCGUGGGGAGCAAACAGG
rnacentral:rRNA from 1 species